rnacentral:rRNA from 1 species
AUUGAACGCUGGCGGCAUGCCUUACACAUGCAAGUCGAACGGUAACAGGUUAAGCUGACGAGUGGCGAACGGGUGAGUAAUAUAUCGGAACGUGCCCAGUCGUGGGGGAUAACGUAGCGAAAGCUACGCUAAUACCGCAUACGAUCUACGGAUGAAAGCGGGGGAUCGCAAGACCGCGCGCGAUUGGAGCGGCCGAUAUCAGAUUAGGUUGUUGGUGAGGUAAAAGCUCACCAAGCCUGCGAUCUGUAGCUGGUCUGAGAGGACGACCAGCCACGCUGGAACUGAGACACGGUCCAGACUCCUACGGGAGGCAGCAGUGGGGAAUUUUGGACAAUGGGCGAAAGCCUGAUCCAGCCAUUCCGCGUGCAGGAUGAAGGCCCUCGGGUUGUAAACUGCUUUUGUACAGAACGAAAAGGUUUCUACUAAUACUAGGAGCUCAUGACGGUACUGUAAGAAUAAGCACCGGCUAACUACGUGCCAGCCGCCGCCGUAA